UAGGGAAUCUUCCACAAUGGGCGAAAGCCUGAUGGAGCAACGCCGCGUGAGCGAAGAAGGUCUUCGGAUCGUAAAGCUCUGUUGUAAGGGAAGAACAAGUGCAGUAGUAACUGGCUGCACCUUGACGGUACCUUACUAGAAAGCCACGGCUAACUACGUGCCAGCAGCCGCGGUAAUACGUAGGUGGCAAGCGUUGUCCGGAAUUAUUGGGCGUAAAGCGCGCGCAGGCGGUCUCUUAAGUCUGAUGUGAAAGCCCCCGGCUUAACCGGGGAGGGUCAUUGGAAACUGGGAGACUUGAGUGCAGGAGAGGGAAGCGGAAUUCCAUGUGUAGCGGUGAAAUGCGUAGAGAUAUGGAGGAACACCAGUGGCGAAGGCGGCUUCCUGGCCUGUAACUGACGCUGAGGCGCGAAAGCGUGGGGAGCAAACA
rnacentral:rRNA from 1 species